rnacentral:sRNA from 1 species
GGGUUUCUCUGAUGUUUUAGAACUAUAAACCACUGACAUCCUAAAGUGACUUCCAUUCUCCCAAUUCUAGAACAAUGCCAUACAACACAGGCUUAAGAUGUGGUACUGUUGGCCAGCUGGACUCACUCAGAGAGUCAGGAAUCAGCUUCCUGGCCUCAGUGUUCAUUGCAAUCCAGACGUGUUCUGAGUUAAAAUCCAUUGUCAAAGGAAUGUGACACGGGGGCUGGUAUACAGGUUCCUCUUUAAUUUGAACUUUAUAUGCUAUCUGAAAUUGAUUAAAACUUUUAUUAAGGUCUUUGUGUUUUUUAAAGGCUAAACUCAAAAUGGGAUCUCCGAAGACUUUGUAAAACAGUUGGUGCUACAGCUCUUCCUAGAUUGGUAUGUAUGUUGGAAAACACUAAAAGAUAGUUGAACAAGAUGGAAUUUUUAUUACAACAGUCACUUUCUUACAGACACCUCCUGUCCUUGAAGAAAUGGGACACUGUGACAGUGUUUGCCUCUCAGAAGUUGGAGAUACUCAGGUGGUGGUUUUUAAGCAUGGUAUGUAGGAAUGGUAAAACAUGUUUAAGUGUAGGGCUUUAGCUUCUUGUAUUUAAUCACCAAAUAUAUUUAAUUUUUUGAUAGAAAAGGAAGAUGGCGCCAUUUCUACCAUAGUACUUCGAGGCUCUACAGACAAUCUGAUGGAUGACAUAGAAAGGGCAGUAGACGAUGCUGUUAAUACUUUCAAAGUUCUUACAAGGGAUAAACGUCUUGUACCCGGAGGUGGAGCAACAGAAAUUGAAUUAGCCAAACAGAUCACAUCAUAUGGAGAGGUACAGCUUUUUCUGUAUAAAUUGACUUUCUUUCCAUUGCUUGAAUAAAAGACAGUAAUUAACACAUUUUUGUUUUAGACAUGUCCUGGACUUGAACAGUAUGCUAUUAAGAAGUUUGCUGAGGCAUUUGAAGCUAUUCCCCGCGCACUGGCAGAAAACUCUGGAGUUAAGGCCAGUGAAGUAAUCUCUAAACUUUAUGCAGUACAUCAAGAAGGAAAUAAAAACGUUGGAUUAGAUAUUGAGGCUGAAGUCCCUGCUGUAAAGGACAUGCUGGAAGCUGGUAUUCUAGAUACUUACCUGGGAAAAUAUUGGGCUAUCAAACUCGCUACUAAUGCUGCAGUCACUGUACUUAGAGUGGAUCAGAUCAUCAUGGCAAAACCAGCUGGUGGGCCCAAGCCUCCAAGUGGGAAGAAAGACUGGGAUGAUGACCAAAAUGAUUGAAAUUGGCUUAAUUUUUACUGUAGGUGAAGGCUGUAUUUGUAGUAGUACUCAAGAAUCACCUGAUGUUUUCUUAUUCUCCUUAAAUUAAGAGGUAUUUUGUGUUUGUAUUCUUGGCUGGAUGUUAUAAUAAACAUAUUGUUACUGUCAAAGC